rnacentral:rRNA from 1 species
AUUGAACGCUGGCGGCAGGCCUAACACAUGCAAGUCGAACGGUAACAGGAAGCAGCUUGCUGCUUUGCUGACGAGUGGCGGACGGGUGAGUAAUGUCUGGGAAACUGCCCGAUGGAGGGGGAUAACUACUGGAAACGGUAGCUAAUACCGCAUAACGUCGCAAGACCAAAGAGGGGGACCUUAGGGCCUCUUGCCAUCGGAUGUGCCCAGAUGGGAUUAGCUAGUAGGUGGGGUAACGGCUCACCUAGGCGACGAUCCCUAGCCGGUCUGAGAGGAUGACCAGCCACACUGGAACUGAGACACGGUCCAGACUCCUACGGGAGGCAGCAGUGGGGAAUAUUGCACAAUGGGCGCAAGCCUGAUGCAGCCAUGCCGCGUGUAUGAAGAAGGCCUUCGGGUUGUAAAGUACUUUCAGCAGGGAGGAAGGGAGUAAAGUUAAUACCUUUGCUCAUUGACGUUACCCGCAGAAGAAGCACCGGCUAACUCCGUG